rnacentral:lncRNA from 1 species
UCGUGUAAUUGUAUGUAUAUAUGCACCUAACCAUGUACUACAUGCGUAUAAAUACAAAUAUGCAUAUAUACAUAUAAACAUAUGCACAUACAUAUAUCCAUGUCCACAUAUUGAAUCACAUUCUUCAUGUCACCUGAGCAUUUGACAACCGUGUCCUGUUGUUGCCAUUCCCUGGCAGGUUUUACCAUUCACCCUUCUCCCCAGUUCUUUAAUUUCCUGGUAAUACAAGAUCAUAUUGCAGAUUAAAAUUGCCCUAUGAUUACCGAUCACCAGUCCACAAAUCUCUUUUCCCUUUACUUUGCCGCUCUAACAUAAGCUGUUUGCUUUUUCCUUUCAUGUCUGUUUGCACAGACAUGGAACAAGAUCUGCUGCAGCUUUUCAUUCUUUUCAAUAUAGAUGAUUUUUAAGCCCUAAUCAUCAACUUUGUGCUCCAGUACCCUAGUCUAUGAAUGCCAUAAAUCUUCUUUAACAGUAAAGCUUUGAAGAGCAUCCAAAACUCUUAGUUCCUCGAAUCUCACCUGAUAUCAGAUAUAAUCUGCUGUAGCAAAUAACACUAGUUGAUACUGUUGAUUCCUCUCCAUCUAUAAUUUCCAAGCCCUAAAGACCCUAUUGAAGAACAAGAUAAAAAUAUCCAUUUCG